rnacentral:rRNA from 1 species
UUAAGCGACUAAGCGUACACGGUGGAUGCCCUGGCAGUCAGAGGCGAUGAAGGACGUGCUAAUCUGCGAUAAGCGUCGGUAAGGUGAUAUGAACCGUUAUAACCGGCGAUUUCCGAAUGGGGAAACCCAGUGUGUUUCGACACACUAUCAUUAACUGAAUCCAUAGGUUAAUGAGGCGAACCGGGGGAACUGAAACAUCUAAGUACCCCGAGGAAAAGAAAUCAACCGAGAUUCCCCCAGUAGCGGCGAGCGAACGGGGAGGAGCCCAGAGCCUGAAUCAGUGUGUGUGUUAGUGGAAGCGUCUGGAAAGGCGCGCGAUACAGGGUGACAGCCCCGUACACAAAAAUGCACAUGCUGUGAGCUCGAUGAGUAGGGCGGGACACGUGGUAUCCUGUCUGAAUAUGGGGGGACCAUCCUCCAAGGCUAAAUACUCCUGACUGACCGAUAGUGAACCAGUACCGUGAGGGAAAGGCGAAAAGAACCCCGGCGAGGGGAGUGAAAAAGAACCUGAAACCGUGUACGUACAAGCAGUGGGAGCACGCUUAGGCGUGUGACUGCGUACCUUUUGUAUAAUGGGUCAGCGACUUAUAUUCUGUAGCAAGGUUAACCGAAUAGGGGAGCCGAAGGGAAACCGAGUCUUAACUGGGCGUUAAGUUGCAGGGUAUAGACCCGAAACCCGGUGAUCUAGCCAUGGGCAGGUUGAAGGUUGGGUAACACUAACUGGAGGACCGAACCGACUAAUGUUGAAAAAUUAGCGGAUGACUUGUGGCUGGGGGUGAAAGGCCAAUCAAACCGGGAGAUAGCUGGUUCUCCCCGAAAGCUAUUUAGGUAGCGCCUCGUGAANNNNNNNNNNNNNNNNNNNNNNNNNNNNNNNNNNNNNNUCAUCUCCGGGGGUAGAGCACUGUUUCGGCAAGGGGGUCAUCCCGACUUACCAACCCGAUGCAAACUGCGAAUACCGGAGAAUGUUAUCACGGGAGACACACGGCGGGUGCUAACGUCCGUCGUGAAGAGGGAAACAACCCAGACCGCCAGCUAAGGUCCCAAAGUCAUGGUUAAGUGGGAAACGAUGUGGGAAGGCCCAGACAGCCAGGAUGUUGGCUUAGAAGCAGCCAUCAUUUAAAGAAAGCGUAAUAGCUCACUGGUCGAGUCGGCCUGCGCGGAAGAUGUAACGGGGCUAAACCAUGCACCGAAGCUGCGGCAGCGACGCUGAUGCGUUGUUGGGUAGGGGAGCGUUCUGUAAGCCUGCGAAGGUGUGCUGUGAGGCAUGCUGGAGGUAUCAGAAGUGCGAAUGCUGACAUAAGUAACGAUAAAGCGGGUGAAAAGCCCGCUCGCCGGAAGACCAAGGGUUCCUGUCCAACGUUAAUCGGGGCAGGGUGAGUCGACCCCUAAGGCGAGGCCGAAAGGCGUAGUCGAUGGGAAACAGGUUAAUAUUCCUGUACUUGGUGUUACUGCGAAGGGGGGACGGAGAAGGCUAUGUUGGCCGGGCGACGGUUGUCCCGGUUUAAGCGUGUAGGCUGGUUUUCCAGGCAAAUCCGGAAAAUCAAGGCUGAGGCGUGAUGACGAGGCACUACGGUGCUGAAGCAACAAAUGCCCUGCUUCCAGGAAAAGCCUCUAAGCAUCAGGUAACAUCAAAUCGUACCCCAAACCGACACAGGUGGUCAGGUAGAGAAUACCAAGGCGCUUGAGAGAACUCGGGUGAAGGAACUAGGCAAAAUGGUGCCGUAACUUCGGGAGAAGGCACGCUGAUAUGUAGGUGAGGUCCCUCGCGGAUGGAGCUGAAAUCAGUCGAAGAUACCAGCUGGCUGCAACUGUUUAUUAAAAACACAGCACUGUGCAAACACGAAAGUGGACGUAUACGGUGUGACGCCUGCCCGGUGCCGGAAGGUUAAUUGAUGGGGUNNNNNNNNNNNNNNNNNNNNNNNNNNNNNNNNNNNNNNNNNNNNNNNAGCGCAAGCGAAGCUCUUGAUCGAAGCCCCGGUAAACGGCGGCCGUAACUAUAACGGUCCUAAGGUAGCGAAAUUCCUUGUCGGGUAAGUUCCGACCUGCACGAAUGGCGUAAUGAUGGCCAGGCUGUCUCCACCCGAGACUCAGUGAAAUUGAACUCGCUGUGAAGAUGCAGUGUACCCGCGGCAAGACGGAAAGACCCCGUGAACCUUUACUAUAGCUUGACACUGAACAUUGAGCCUUGAUGUGUAGGAUAGGUGGGAGGCUUUGAAGUGUGGACGCCAGUCUGCAUGGAGCCGACCUUGAAAUACCACCCUUUAAUGUUUGAUGUUCUAACGUGGACCCGUAAUCCGGGUUGCGGACAGUGUCUGGUGGGUAGUUUGACUGGGGCGGUCUCCUCCUAAAGAGUAACGGAGGAGCACGAAGGUUGGCUAAUCCUGGUCGGACAUCAGGAGGUUAGUGCAAUGGCAUAAGCCAGCUUGACUGCGAGCGUGACGGCGCGAGCAGGUGCGAAAGCAGGUCAUAGUGAUCCGGUGGUUCUGAAUGGAAGGGCCAUCGCUCAACGGAUAAAAGGUACUCCGGGGAUAACAGGCUGAUACCGCCCAAGAGUUCAUAUCGACGGUGGUGUUUGGCACCUCGAUGUCGGCUCAUCACAUCCUGGGGCUGAAGUAGGUCCCAAGGGUAUGGCUGUUCGCCAUUUAAAGUGGUACGCGAGCUGGGUUUAGAACGUCGUGAGACAGUUCGGUCCCUAUCUGCCGUGGGCGCUGGAGAACUGAGGGGGGCUGCUCCUAGUACGAGAGGACCGGAGUGGACGCAUCACUGGUGUUCGGGUUGUCAUGCCAAUGGCACUGCCCGGUAGCUAAAUGCGGAAGAGAUAAGUGCUGAAAGCAUCUAAGCACGAAACUUGCCCCGAGAUGAGUUCUCCCUGACUCCUUGAGAGUCCUGAAGGAACGUUGAAGACGACGACGUUGAUAGGCCGGGUGUGUAAGCGCAGCGAUGCGUUGAGCUAACCGGUACUAAUGAACCGUGAGGCUUAACCUU